rnacentral:rRNA from 1 species
GACGAACCGUGCGACCGUUGUUCGGAAUCACUGGGCCUAAAGGGCGCGUAGGCGGCUUUUCAAGUCAGGGGUGAAAUCCGGCAGCUCAACUGUCGAAGUGCCCUUGAUACUGACGAGCUCGAGGGAGGUAGGGGUGUGUGGAACUUCCGGUGGAGCGGUGAAAUGCGUUGAUAUCGGAAGGAACGCCGGUGGCGAAAGCGACGCACUGGACCUCUUCUGACGCUGAGGCGCGAAAGCCAGGGGAGCAAACGGG